rnacentral:rRNA from 1 species
UACGUAGGGCGCAAGCGUUAUCCGGAAUUAUUGGGCGUAAAGAGCUCGUAGGUGGCUUGUCACGUCGGGUGUGAAAGCUUGGGGCUUAACUCCAGGUCUGCAUUCGAUACGGGCUGGCUAGAGGUAGGUAGGGGAGAACGGAAUUCCUGGUGUAGCGGUGAAAUGCGCAGAUAUCAGGAGGAACACCGAUGGCGAAGGCAGGUCUCUGGGCAUUAACUGACGCUGAGGAGCGAAAGCAUGGGGAGCGAACAGG